GGUUAAGCGACUAAGCGUACACGGUGGAUGCCCUGGCAGUCAGAGGCGAUGAAGGACGUGCUAAUCUGCGAAAAGCGUCGGUAAGGUGAUAUGAACCGUUACAGCCGGCGAUGUCCGAAUGGGGAAACCCAGUGCAAUUCGUUGCACUAUCGUUAACUGAAUACAUAGGUUAACGAGGCGAACCGGGGGAACUGAAACAUCUAAGUACCCCGAGGAAAAGAAAUCAACCGAGAUUCCCCCAGUAGCGGCGAGCGAACGGGGAGCAGCCCAGAGUCUGAAUCAGCUUGUGUGUUAGUGGAACGGUCUGGAAAGUCCGACGGUACAGGGUGAUAGUCCCGUACACCAAAAUGCACAGGUUGUGAACUCGAAGAGUAGGGCGGGACACGUGGUAUCCUGUCUGAAUAUGGGGGGACCAUCCUCCAAGGCUAAAUACUCCUGACUGACCGAUAGUGAACCAGUACCGUGAGGGAAAGGCGAAAAGAACCCCGGCGAGGGGAGUGAAAAAGAACCUGAAACCGUGUACGUACAAGCAGUGGGAGCACCUUCGGGUGUGACUGCGUACCUUUUGUAUAAUGGGUCAGCGACUUAUAUUCUGUAGCAAGGUUAACCGUAUAGGGGAGCCGCAGGGAAACCGAGUCUUAACUGGGCGUUAAGUUGCAGGGUAUAGACCCGAAACCCGGUGAUCUAGCCAUGGGCAGGUUGAAGGUUGGGUAACACUAACUGGAGGACCGAACCGACUAAUGUUGAAAAAUUAGCGGAUGACUUGUGGCUGGGGGUGAAAGGCCAAUCAAACCGGGAGAUAGCUGGUUCUCCCCGAAAGCUAUUUAGGUAGCGCCUCGUGAAUUCAUCUUCGGGGGUAGAGCACUGUUUCGGCUAGGGGGUCAUCCCGACUUACCAACCCGAUGCAAACUACGAAUACCGAAGAAUGUUAUCACGGGAGACACACGGCGGGUGCUAACGUCCGUCGUGAAGAGGGAAACAACCCAGACCGCCAGCUAAGGUCCCAAAGUCACAGUUAAGUGGGAAACGAUGUGGGAAGGCACAGACAGCCAGGAUGUUGGCUUAGAAGCAGCCAUCAUUUAAAGAAAGCGUAAUAGCUCACUGGUCGAGUCGGCCUGCGCGGAAGAUGUAACGGGGCUAAACUGUGCACCGAAGCUGCGGCAGCGACACUUAGGUGUUGUUGGGUAGGGGAGCGUUCUGUAAGCCUGCGAAGGUGGCCUGUGAGGGUUGCUGGAGGUAUCAGAAGUGCGAAUGCUGACAUAAGUAACGAUAAUGCGGGUGAAAAGCCCGCACGCCGGAAGACCAAGGGUUCCUGUCCAACGUUAAUCGGGGCAGGGUGAGUCGACCCCUAAGGCGAGGCCGAAAGGCGUAGUCGAUGGGAAACAGGUUAAUAUUCCUGUACUUGGUGUUACUGCGAAGGGGGGACGGAGAAGGCUAUGUUAGCCGGGCGACGGUUGUCCCGGUUUAAGCAUGUAGGCGGAGGUUCCAGGUAAAUCCGGUACCUUUUAACGCUGAGGUGUGAUGACGAGGCACUACGGUGCUGAAGUAACAAAUGCCCUGCUUCCAGGAAAAGCCUCUAAGCAUCAGGUAACAUUGAAUCGUACCCCAAACCGACACAGGUGGUCAGGUAGAGAAUACCAAGGCGCUUGAGAGAACUCGGGUGAAGGAACUAGGCAAAAUGGUGCCGUAACUUCGGGAGAAGGCACGCUGAUAUGUAGGUGAAGCCCCUGCGGGUGGAGCUGAAAUCAGUCGAAGAUACCAGCUGGCUGCAACUGUUUAUUAAAAACACAGCACUGUGCAAACACGAAAGUGGACGUAUACGGUGUGACGCCUGCCCGGUGCCGGAAGGUUAAUUGAUGGGGUUAUCCGUAAGGAGAAGCUCUUGAUCGAAGCCCCGGUAAACGGCGGCCGUAACUAUAACGGUCCUAAGGUAGCGAAAUUCCUUGUCGGGUAAGUUCCGACCUGCACGAAUGGCGUAAUGAUGGCCAGGCUGUCUCCACCCGAGACUCAGUGAAAUUGAACUCGCUGUGAAGAUGCAGUGUACCCGCGGCAAGACGGAAAGACCCCGUGAACCUUUACUAUAGCUUGACACUGAACAUUGAGCCUUGAUGUGUAGGAUAGGUGGGAGGCUUUGAAGCGUGGACGCCAGUCUGCGUGGAGCCAACCUUGAAAUACCACCCUUUAAUGUUUGAUGUUCUAACGUUGGCCCCUGACCGGGGUUGCGGACAGUGUCUGGUGGGUAGUUUGACUGGGGCGGUCUCCUCCCAAAGAGUAACGGAGGAGCACGAAGGUUAGCUAAUCCUGGUCGGACAUCAGGAGGUUAGUGCAAUGGCAUAAGCUAGCUUGACUGCGAGCGUGACGGCGCGAGCAGGUGCGAAAGCAGGUCAUAGUGAUCCGGUGGUUCUGAAUGGAAGGGCCAUCGCUCAACGGAUAAAAGGUACUCCGGGGAUAACAGGCUGAUACCGCCCAAGAGUUCAUAUCGACGGCGGUGUUUGGCACCUCGAUGUCGGCUCAUCACAUCCUGGGGCUGAAGUAGGUCCCAAGGGUAUGGCUGUUCGCCAUUUAAAGUGGUACGCGAGCUGGGUUUAGAACGUCGUGAGACAGUUCGGUCCCUAUCUGCCGUGGGCGCUGGAGAAUUGAGGGGGGCUGCUCCUAGUACGAGAGGACCGGAGUGGACGCAUCACUGGUGUUCGGGUUGUCAUGCCAAUGGCAUUGCCCGGUAGCUAAAUGCGGAAGAGAUAAGUGCUGAAAGCAUCUAAGCACGAAACUUGCCCCGAGAUGAGUUCUCCCUGAGACUUUAAGUCUCCUGAAGGAACGUUAAAGACGAUGACGUUGAUAGGUCGGGUGUGUAAGCGUAGCGAUACGUUGAGCUAACCGAUACUAAUGAACCGUGAGGCUUAACCUU
rnacentral:rRNA from 1 species